rfam:Weissella viridescens strain DSM 20410 Scaffold1, whole genome shotgun sequence.
UACAGGGUAGGUUUUAAUGCGUCAAGUGUUGGGGAAACGGAAUGUGAUCCCCAAACGAAGGUUUAACCGCGAUAUUAUUACCACAUUCACUGUU